rnacentral:rRNA from 1 species
UCCGUCGACACCGCCUUUGUUGAGGUAAAGGGUUGGUUGUUGGUUGUCGGCGGGUUCCGGCUAGGUACCGCAGCCGCAGCGCCGACGACGGCGGGAAAGGGGGAGGUCGACGGGGUUGUAGAGCGGUGUGUUGGGAGGCGCGGCAGGGAGCGUCGACGUCGGAGCGGUAGGGCUCGGAGGCCACGGCGCGGAGGCGAGGUCGCCGGCAACUACGACCGCGCGGCGACGACGAGCUCCUGGCGCGGCCGCGCCACAGGUAGGCUCUCAAACAGUGCGAGCUACUCGAGGUGCGGCGGCACGCGGAGGCGCAAGCGUGGAAGAUGCUCAUGCGGGCGCCGUGACAGCCGCGGCUCAAGAUAAUCCUAGUGUCCUUUCCAGACCGUCUCUCCCUUAUACUCCGUAAUGUUUUAGCCUAAAGACCCUUAUACUAAUUAAAAGCCUCUCAGAGAACAUAUUUACCCUGUCACGGUUACAACGGUAGCAACUACAGGCGUCUCCUCGAAACAAGUUGUACGUUCAAACAACUUCUACCCCUUCUCUCUUAUCAUCAACCAUCAAAUCUGGACUUAGUCACGGAGACCGAUGGUCUACUUGACUGACCUUUCUCCGGUCCCCAUUGACUUAGUUCAGUAUGUGCCCGUAUAGAUUCGUUACAUACACAACGGUUCCUCGAGGUUUCUACGCCUGACCCGAUACGUAACCAACUGUUCAGAUUCUUCGAACGAGCAGUUACCCCACUCAAGUAAAGUAAAUCAAAGGAAUUGCACAAAAAAUGCAUAAAUCGACUAAAAUCUGGUAGGAAUCAACCAUGAACCAUCAAUCUAAUGGACGUUGUACUGUUAUAUAUGACUAUCUAACUCAAAAGUUAACAUGCUUUUGCACGAAGAAUACAAGUCCAGCUUUGUAGAUAAUAGUUUGAACAAGAAAGUGGUAAUAGACUGUUGACAUGUUGGUAUACAACUAUAUACUAGAUAAGGCCAAAUCAACUUAGUAUACUAACAACGCGUCGUCAAAAACACCUGGCUGUCUUCAUACUGUUAAUGAAGUGAAGAAUUGGGGAAACUUUAAGAACAGGGAACUACGUUAAAGAGUACAACCUGUGCUUGUGUUUAUAAACGUCCGUAUUGCCUAAACAUACAGGUACAACGGUAGUUGUUGCUCCGCCGUGUUUUCGACAUGUAGUUCUCACCUAAACACAUGCUUUCACUCCUCGGACGGGUCGUCCGAUCCGUAGAACCCGCGGGAGCUUCCGAAGAAGAAACCGAACUAUACUUCUUGCUUUGGAACACUAGAAUGGACAUUUACGAAGGAAAAUAUCAAUAUGUCAUAAUAGAUAUAUAUUAAACUAAAAUGACGGGUUAAGUUCAUCAUCAUAAAAAAAAGGAACACCUUUCUUUAUGUUAAGACUUUUAAAUUUAAUUCCUAAGAGGGGUAUCAAAAUAAACAAGACGUGUAUCAUGAGUAAUAAGUUACAUAUAAGUCUUAAGGGGGUCACCGUUUGUUACCAUGCCCUAUUAUGUCACGAUAGUUUAGAAAUAUAAGGACGGGU